rnacentral:rRNA from 1 species
GAUGAACGCUGGCGGCGUGCCUAAUACAUGCAAGUCGAGCGAACGGACGAGAAGCUUGCUUCUCUGAUGUUAGCGGCGGACGGGUGAGUAACACGUGGAUAACCUACCUAUAAGACUGGGAUAACUUCGGGAAGCCGGAGCUAAUACCGGAUAAUAUUUUGAACCGCAUGGUUCAAAAGUGAAAGACGGUCUUGCUGUCACUUAUAGAUGGAUCCGCGCUGCAUUAGCUAGUUGGUAAGGUAACGGCUUACCAAGGCAACGAUGCAUAGCCGACCUGAGAGGGUGAUCGGCCACACUGGAACUGAGACACGGUCCAGACUCCUACGGGAGGCAGCAGUAGGGAAUCUUCCGCAAUGGGCGAAAGCCUGACGGAGCAACGCCGCGUGAGUGAUGAAGGUCUUCGGAUCGUAAAACUCUGUUAUUAGGGAAGAACAUAUGUGUAAGUAACUGUGCACAUCUUGACGGUACCUAAUCAGAAAGCCACGGCCAACUACGUG